rnacentral:rRNA from 1 species
CCUACGGGUGGCAGCAGUGGGGAAUAUUGGGCAAUGGGCGCAAGCCUGACCCAGCAACGCCGCGUGAAGGAAGAAGGCUUUCGGGUUGUAAACUUCUUUUCUCAGGGACGAAGAAAGUGACGGUACCUGAGGAAUAAGCCCCGGCGAACUACGUGCCAGCAGCCGCGGUAUUACGUAGGUGGCAAGCUUUAUCCGGAUUUACUGGGUGGAAAGGGCGUGUAGGCGGGAAAGCAAGUCAGAUGUGAAAACCAUGGGGUCAACCUGUGGCCUGCCUUUGAAACUGGUUUUCUUGAGUACUGGAGAGGCAGACGGAAUGCCUAGUGUAGCGGUGAAAUGCGUAGAUAUUAGGAGGAACACCGGUGGCGAAGGCGGUCUGCUGGAGAGCAACUGACGCUGAGGCGCGAAAGCGUGGGGAGCAAACAGGAUUAGAUACCCCAGUAGUC